rnacentral:rRNA from 1 species
GGAUCCAGACUUUGAUCAUGGCUCAGGAUGAACGCUAGCUACAGGCUUAACACAUGCAAGUCGAGGGGCAGCGGGAUUGAAGCUUGCUUCAAUUGCCGGCGACCGGCGCACGGGUGAGUAACGCGUAUCCAACCUUCCGUACACUCAGGGAUAGCCUUUCGAAAGAAAGAUUAAUACCUGAUGGUAUGAUGAGAUUGCAUGAUAGCAUCAUUAAAGAUUUAUCGGUGUACGAUGGGGAUGCGUUCCAUUAGGUAGUAGGCGGGGUAACGGCCCACCUAGCCAACGAUGGAUAGGGGUUCUGAGAGGAAGGUCCCCCACAUUGGAACUGAGACACGGUCCAAACUCCUACGGGAGGCAGCAGUGAGGAAUAUUGGUCAAUGGACGAGAGUCUGAACCAGCCAAGUAGCGUGAAGGAUGAAGGUCCUACGGAUUGUAAACUUCUUUUAUAAGGGAAUAAACCCUCCCACGUGUGGGAGCUUGUAUGUACCUUAUGAAUAAGCAUCGGCUAACUCCGUGCCAGCAGCCGCGGUAAUACGGAGGAUGCGAGCGUUAUCCGGAUUUAUUGGGUUUAAAGGGAGCGCAGACGGGUCGUUAAGUCAGCUGUGAAAGUUUGGGGCUCAACCUUAAAAUUGCAGUUGAUACUGGCGUCCUUGAGUGCGGUUGAGGUGUGCGGAAUUCGUGGUGUAGCGGUGAAAUGCUUAGAUAUCACGAAGAACUCCGAUUGCGAAGGCAGCACACUAAUCCGUAACUGACGUUCAUGCUCGAAAGUGUGGGUAUCAAACAGGAUUAGAUACCCUGGUAGUCCACACGGUAAACGAUGGAUACUCGCUGUUGGCGAUAUACUGUCAGCGGCUUAGCGAAAGCGUUAAGUAUCCCACCUGGGGAGUACGCCGGCAACGGUGCAACUCAA